GACGAACGCUGGCGGCGUGCUUAACACAUGCAAGUCGAACGGAAAGGCCCUGCUUUUGUGGGGUGCUCGAGUGGCGAACGGGUGAGUAACACGUGAGUAACCUGCCCUUGACUUUGGGAUAACUUCAGGAAACUGGGGCUAAUACCGGAUAGGAGCUCCUGCUGCAUGGUGGGGGUUGGAAAGUUUCGGCGGUUGGGGAUGGACUCGCGGCUCAUCAGCUUGUUGGUGGGGUAGUGGCUUACCAAGGCUUUGACGGGUAGCCGGCCUGAGAGGGUGACCGGCCACAUUGGGACUGAGAUACGGCCCAGACUCCUACGGGAGGCAGCGGUGGGGAAUAUUGCACAAUGGGCGGAAGCCUGAUGCAGCAACGCCGCGUGCGGGAUGACGGCCUUCGGGUUGUAAACCGCUUUCGCCUGUGACGAAGCGUGAGUGACGGUAAUGGGUAAAGAAGCACCGGCUAACUACGUG
rnacentral:rRNA from 1 species